AGUUUGAUUCUGGCUCAGAUUGAACGCUGGCGGGAUGCUUUACACGGGCAAGUCGAACGGCAGCACGGACUUCGGUCUGCGUGGCGAGUGGCGAACGGGUGAGUAAUGUAUCGGAACGUGCCUAGUAGCGGGGAUAACUACGCGAAAGCGUAGCCAAUACCGCAUACGUAGCCCUUCGGGGGAAAGCGGGGACCUUCGGGCCUCGCACUAUUAGAGCGGCCGGAUAUCGGAUUAGCUAGUUGGUGUGGGGCAACGGCUCACCAAGGCGACGAUCCGUAGCUGGUUUGAGAGGACGACCAGCCACACUGGGACUGAGACACGGCCCAGACUCCUACGGGAGGCAGCAGUGGGAAUUUUGGACAAUGGGGAAACCCUGGAUCCAGCCAUCCCGCGUGUGCGAUGAAGGCCUCGGUUGUAAAGCACUUUUGGCAGGAAAGAAACGGCACGGGAUAAUACCCCGUGCAACUGACGGUACCUGCAGAAUAAGCACCGGCUAACUACGUGUGCCGUAGCCGCGGUAAUACGUAGGGAAAGUAAGCGUUAAUCGGAAUUACUGGGCGUAAAGCGUGCGCAGGCGGUUCGGAAAGAAAGAUGUGAAAUCCCAGAGCUUAACUUUUGAACUGCAUUUUUAACUACCGAGCUAGAGUGUCAGAGGGAGGUGUGAAUUCCGCGUGUAGCAGUGAAAUGCGUAGAUAUGCGGAGGAACACCGAUGGCGAAGGCAGCCUCCUGGGAUAACACUGACGCUCAUGCACGAAAGCGUGGGGAGCAAACAGAUUAGAUACCCUGGUAGUCCACGCCCUAAACGAUGUCAACUAGCUGUUGGGGCCUUCGGGCCUUGCAGCGCAGCUAACGCGUGAAGUUGACCGCCUGGGGAGUACGGUCGCAAGAUUAAAACUCAAAGCGAAUUGACGGGACCCGCACAAGCGGUGGAUGAUGUGGAUUAAUUCGAUGCAAACGCGAAAACCUUACCUACCCUUGACAUGUCUGAAUCCCGAAGAGAUUUGGGAGUGCUCGCAAGAGAACCGGAACACAGGUGCUGCAUGGCUGUCGUCAGCUCGUGUCAGGAGAUGUUGGGUUAAAGUCCGGCAACGAGCGCAACCCUUGUCAUUAGUUGCUACGAAAGCGCACUCUAAUGAGACUGCCGGUGACAAACCGGAGGAAGGUGGGGAUGACGUCAAGUCCUCAUGGCCCUUAUGGGCAGGGCUUCACACGUCAUACAAUGGUCGGGACAGAGGGUCGCCAACCCGCGAGGGGGAGCCAAUCCUGGUGAAACCCGAUCGUAGUCCGGAUCGCAGUCUGCAACUCGGACUGCGUGAAGUCGGAAUCGCUAGUGCAAUCGCGGAUCAGCAUGUCGCGGUGAAUACGUUCCCUGGGGUCUUGUACACACCGCCCGUCACACCAUGGGAGUGGGUUUUACCAGAAGUAGUUAGCCUAACCGUAAGGAGGGCGAUUACCACGGUAGGAUUCAUGACUGUAGUGAAGUCGUAACAAGGUAAC
rnacentral:rRNA from 1 species